GAAAUAGCUUAGUUGGUUAGAGCCUGUGACAUAACUAUAAGGUCGAAGGUUCAAGCCCUUCUUCA